rnacentral:rRNA from 1 species
GAGUUUGAUCUUGGCUCAGAUUGAACGCUGGCGGCAGGCCUAACACAUGCAAGUCGAGCGGUAGAGUAGAAGCUUGCUUCUCUUGAGAGCGGCGGACGGGUGAGUAAUGCCUAGGAAUCUGCCUGGUAGUGGGGGAUAACGCUCGGAAACGGACGCUAAUACCGCAUACGUCCUACGGGAGAAAGCAGGGGACCUUCGGGCCUUGCGCUAUCAGAUGAGCCUAGGUCGGAUUGGCUAGUUGGUGAGGUAAUGGCUCACCAAGGCGACGAUCCGUAACUGGUCUGAGAGGAUGAUCAGUCACACUGGAACUGAGACACGGUCCAGACU